rnacentral:rRNA from 1 species
GGCGGCAGGCCUAACACAUGCAAGUCGAGCGGCAGCGGGAAGUAGCUUGCUACUUUGCCGGCGAGCGGCGGACGGGUGAGUAAUGUCUGGGAAACUGCCUGAUGGAGGGGGAUAACUACUGGAAACGGUAGCUAAUACCGCAUGACCUCGCAAGAGCAAAGUGGGGGACCUUCGGGCCUCACGCCAUCGGAUGUGCCCAGAUGGGAUUAGCUAGUAGGUGAGGUAAUGGCUCACCUAGGCGACGAUCCCUAGCUGGUCUGAGAGGAUGACCAGCCACACUGGAACUGAGACACGGUCCAGACUCCUACGGGAGGCAGCAGUGGGGAAUAUUGCACAAUGGGCGCAAGCCUGAUGCAGCCAUGCCGCGUGUGUGAAGAAGGCCUUAGGGUUGUAAAGCACUUUCAGCGAGGAGGAAGGGUUCAGUGUUAAUAGCACUGUACAUUGACGUUACUCGCAGAAGAAGCACCGGCUAACUCCGUGCCAGCAGCCGCGGUAAUACGAGGUGCAAGCGUUAAUCGGAAUUACUGGGCGUAAAGCGCACGCAGG